AUCAGAAAUAGUCACGGGUUGAUUGGUAUUUGAUUGUUUUCGUGUGUUUUACUGGUGGAAUAGUUUGGGAAAUAGCAUCCAACUCUGUGGAACCUGACUCCUUUAUGUAUCACCAAACCUCAAUGGUAAUCGUCAAAAUUUAAGAUUUGCCGCCGGCUAAAUCCACGACCUAACUCGGAUUGAAUCAAAAAUGAUUGCAGCUCUUAAUUCGCGAAACCCAUCUCUUAAAAUCGUCAUGAGUGACACUUUAACAUUGUGGCGGAAUGAUGAUAUUAUACGCAACACAAAAACAGACAAAUGUCAUUGUGCACGACGAAAUAGAAAUGCCACUGGAGCACACGCGUGUCAACUAGGACCAUCUGCCAUCUAGUGGAGGAUUUCUUUGUUUUGCCUGUCACGAUACAGUACUGCGUUGUAGGCAGCGGGAUUUGACAAAUGAUGAUGGUUGUGUAAAUUGAGGGGUCCGUUGUUUUUAAUCUAUGGCUCUGCUUUACGAACGGCAAAAAGAGAGAUGGAAAAACGUCAGCAGCGCACCACGUUCGGGAACACACUCCUUCGGCAACUAAAAUCACUUCCUGCUUUCCCUUCACUUCAACAGCCAAUCAGAAUCUAUCAACAUAAAAAACAAGUUUAAGCAAUUAUUAAACAACAGAAUGCAAUGUAGGUAAUCUUAACAUGAAAUAAUAUGUUCAAACAUAAAAUAAUUAAUAAUAUAAAAUAAGAUUACAGUUGAUUUGACACCUCUGCUUUGCCCUAAAUUUCUCUCAAUGCUGCCGAAAGUCACAAGGACAAGCAAAUGUCACACUCUCGCGGGUAAAGUCGUCAUUCUUGUUCACACUUUGCUAGGCCCUGACGUCAACCCGGGUCACAAAAUAAUCUCAGAUUUUAAUCCCUGUCAUGCACUAUGGGAUUAGUGGCAGUACAGAGGGGAUUUUUUCCUCAACUGAAAGUCACACACGUCGAAAGACCCCAGCAAAAGGUUUUGGAAUAUAGUUUUUUUUCUUUGCCCCCUGGAAAAAAAAGGAGUUUACCACAAAGUACAGUGCAACUCUAAUUCUAAUAUCAGGAUCCAUCAAAAACAAUGAUUUAAAAAUGACAUGAAGGACUU